UUAGAUAUAAGCAACUGGAGACAACUCACCACUCAGAUAUAUUUUGGUCCAUGACCAUGGUUCCAACAUGGCCAUUUAGCCUAGUCCCCAAUGCCUGGCCAACGUUUGCGUCGCGUGCGGGUGGAAAGACAGACAGCGAAUGGACAGGCACAUCGCGGCGCCUGCGCGUAGUCUCUGUUUAGCGUUCCACCACAAAUCAACAAGAGGAUCGACAUUAAACUAAGUGGGAUCAUUAAACAAGGGGGAAGAUGAACAAUAGCCUCUCUCUCAAAGCAAAUGACAGGAUCAUUUAUGAAAUGGCAACAAAGGAAUGAACAAAAGUCAUGAGUUACACACUGAAGAAAAGAGAGGGAAAUAAACACAAAGUAGAACGAAAGGAAGGGCUGAAAGGAGAGGAAGUGAGAAAGAAAGAGGAAGAGAAACAUCUGCAGACAGAGGGGCUAUUUGAGCAAUCAUUCAUCAGUUUCCACUGCAGGUUGAGAAACGUCCACACUCCUCCUGGGUUUAACCACUAGGCCUACUAUUAUGACAACUCAUGUUGGUGUGCUAUGAACUCAAAUUCUACUGCUAUUAUUUCUACUAUGGCCACCACUACCACUUCAAGUCUUAGGUGUUUGAAACCUGUCAUAAAACGUGUUAUCUCUAACAGCCAUUGAUUGAAAAGAAGGGGAGUUAACCAGUAUAUUUUCUGAUAAGUGCAGUUUGAAUUGGAAUGCCACACCUUAUCUCUCCCACCCAGCACUUCUUUCUAGUGAUACAGAUACUUUUCAGCCAGUCGCUCUCAAACACUCAAAGCAAGUAUCAAGAGGGAUAUUAAGGAAAGAGGGAGAGAGCGAGGGAGAGAAAGAGCGAGGCAGAGAGAGAGCGAGGGAGAGAAAGAGCGAGGCAGUGAAAGAGCGAGGGAGGGCGUAUAGAAAAGUCAGAGGUUAGAAAAGGGGUCUAUUUGAAUACAGUCACCCAUUAACCUCACAUUAAUAAGACAACAAGAACAGUCCUUUGAGUGACAGUUAAACAGGCAGCCAGCCAGAGUCAGAGCAGGGAGUCAGUCAGCCAGGUAGGUAGCUAUCAGUCGGUCAGCCAGCAAGCCAGUCAGAGCAAGUACUCAGUCAGCCAGGCAGGUAGCUAGUCAGCCAGUCAGGCAGUCAGUCCGUUAAUCAGCGAGGAUGCUGGGAUGCGAGGGGGGAGGGGUGGGGUUGCGCUACAGGCUGACCCUGGCCACAGGACUGGUGGAGUGUCUGUGUUUCGCCGGCGUGGUCUUCGGCUGGGCAUCGCUGGUCUUCGUCCUGAAGACAGACGGAUACUUCACUGACCUCUGUGUCAAUCUGACUACUGGACCCAACAGUACAGUGGAAACAGACUGUAGUGGACAGGAUGAACAGUUCUCCCUGGUCUUCACCGUCACCUCCUUUAUGAACAACUUCCUCACGCUUCCCAACGGAUUCAUCUUCGACCGCUUCGGCACCAUGGCAACGAGGCUUCUGGGAAUAUGUCUCUACACCACUGGUACACUGAUGGUUGCCUUCUCCAGUUCAGCUCUGUCCAUGCUGCUGUUCCCAGCCCUGUCCUUCAUCGCAGUGGGAGGUAUAUUGUUCCUCAUCACAAACAUACAGGUUGGGAACUUGUUUGGCUCCCAUCGUUCCACCAUCAUCACUCUCUAUAAUGGAGCCUUCGACUCUUCCUCCGCUGUCUUCCUCAUCAUCAAGGUGAUGCAUGAAGGAGGGGUCUCCCUCCGCUCCUCCUUCCUCAUUCUCUCCGUCUGCAGUGUCAUCCACCUCCUCAGGACGUUCUUUCUCAUGCCCAACACCCACAUUCCCUACCCACUCCCCGAGGGCUUCACCUAUGGCGUAAGCCCUGGAAAGUCCAACAGCUACAACGUCGAGGAGUCUGAGAAGACGCGAGAGACGGGGAGGACACCGGAGGGGAGGGGCCAGCUGAGACCGACGACAUGCCCCUACAGCCUGAUGAUGGGCAGCAGUCGGAAGACUCCGGGAAAGUGGCCAGUUUCAGGAGCUGUGUGCAGUCGGGGUUCUUCCUGUGGCAUCUGGUGUGGCUGUCUGUCAUGCAGCUGAGACACUACCUCUUCAUCGGAACACUGAACCCCAUGCUCAACCGGCUGGCCGACAACGACUCAGCCCUGGUGAGUCAGUACACCAAUGCCUUUGCCUUCACCCAGCUGUGUGGGGUCCUCUGUGCUCCCUGGAACGGCCUCAUCAUGGACAGACACAAGGGGAAGCCUCUGGCUCCAGGAGAAACAGAUAAGGAGGCAGACCUGCGCUCCUCCUCUCUCUCCCUCUUCCUCACCUCCCUCCAGUGCCUCCUCUUCUCCAUCUGCGCCUCCUCUCCUCUCCUCCCUCUCCAGUACCUCACCUUCAUCCUGCAGGUCCUCAACCGCUCCUUCCUCUACGGAGGCAACGCAGCCUUCGUCAGCAUCGCUUUUCCUGGGGUCCACUUUGGGAAGCUGUAUGGUUUGGUGAUGUCUCUGUCUGCCGUGGUGUCACUGCUGCAGUACCCCUGUUUCGCCCUGGUCAAAGGAGCCCUAGGUGGAGACCCCUUCUAUGUGAACAUCGCUCUGACUCUCCUCACUCUGCUGGCCUUCAUCCAUCCAAUCAACAUCUUCUACCACUGCAGGAAACUGACCAAUCAGAGGGAGGAUAUGGCCGGCGGUGCUGCCAUCACAUUGGCUGAGGCCAAAAUGUAGGGGACAUUACAUGAGGGUCCUGAGCCAAGGGAAACAGGAAUUGUCUUAUUUCUAAUUGUUUAAAGGGAAUAUGUAAAAUAAUAAUAAAAGCUUUUUUAUACUUAUGUUUUACAGUAAUCCCAUAUAUUCCAUCAGUAUGUUUUGUUGGAUAGUUGUCAAUAAAAAUGAUUAUCCAU